rnacentral:lncRNA from 1 species
UAGAUUAAUCUCCCUAUCUGUUCCAUUAAUUAAUUGAGCAGCCGAAUUCGUGUUAUUGUGUCGAGUAUUGCAAUCCACAGCUAUUCGGCAAAAAAUCAACAUGAAUUUCCAAGUGGUUUUGUUUUUGAGCGUUUCGUUGCUAUUUUUGCAACAAUCCAGCGCUUCUCCUGUUGGCUCUAAACUUGACCACCGAUCAGAAAAUCCACAAUCUUCAGGCUUUAUAGUUGCCAGCAUUAUUAACGUACCUUGCAAGACUGGUUAUGUGAUGGUUAACGGAAAUUGUGUAAAAGAAGUUAAUGGAAAAUGAGUCAAAGCGUUAAUUUAACCCGAUGGCUACACGCUUGAGGUCUCCAACUUUAACCAGAUAUUAAUUUUUUUAUCAUUACUUUUAUAUGGUUUAUCAUAUACAUGUAUUGUAAUUUAUAAUGCUGUUAUCCAUGUCCCAAUAAAACUCAUGGAUAACUGUUA